rnacentral:rRNA from 1 species
CCUACGGGACGCAGCAGUGGGGAAUAUUGGGCAAUGGGCGCAAGCCUGACCCAGCAACGCCGCGUGAAGGAAGAAGGCUUUCGGGUUGUAAACUUCUUUUAUCAGGGACGAAACAAAUGACGGUGCCUGAAGAACAAGCCCCGGCUAACUACGUGCCAGCAGCCGCGGUAAAACGUAGGGGGCGAGCGUUGUCCGGAAUGACUGGGCGUAAAGGGUGCGUAGGCGGCAUAAUAAGUUAGAAGUGAAAUACCCAGAGCUUAACUCGGGUGCUGCUUCUAAGACUGUUGAGCUUGAGUGCGGGAGAG